UCCACAUGGGCAGUGGCUUGUCAGCAC
rnacentral:piRNA from 2 species